rnacentral:rRNA from 1 species
AUUGAACGCUGGCGGCAGGCCUAACACAUGCAAGUCGCACGAGUGGCGGAAGGGUGAGUAAUGUCUGGGCAACUGCCCGAUGGAGGGGGAUAACUACUGGAAACGGUAGCUAAUACCGCAUACCAUCGGAUGUGCCCAGAUGGGAUUAGCUAGUAUGUGGGGUAACGGCUCACCUAGGAGACGAUCCCUAGCUGGUCUGAGAGGAUGACCAGCCAAACUUGAUAUGCGGCCCGUUCCAUGAUCAGACUAGAGGCAGCAGUGGGGAAUAUUGAACAAUGGGCGCAAGCCGGAUGCAGCCAGGCCGCGUGUAUGAAGAAGGCCUUCGGGUUGUAAGGUACUUUCAGCGGGGAGGCGGUACUCGCAGAAGAAGCACCGGCUAACUCCGUGCCAGCAGCCGCGGUAAUUC